CCUACGGGCGGCAGCAGUGGGGAAUAUUGGACAAUGGGCGAAAGCCUGAUCCAGCCAUGCCGCGUGUGUGAAGAAGGCCUUCGGGUUGUAAAGCACUUUCAGUGGGGAAGAAAGCCUUGGGGCUAAUACCCUCGAGGAAGGACAUCACCCACAGAAGAAGCACCGGCUAACUCCGUGCCAGCAGCCGCGGUAAUACGGAGGGUGCGAGCGUUAAUCGGAAUUACUGGGCGUAAAGCGCGCGUAGGCGGUCUGAUAAGCCGGUUGUGAAAGCCCCGGGCUCAACCUGGGAACGGCAUCCGGAACUGUCAGGCUAGAGUGCAGGAGAGGAAGGUAGAAUUCCCGGUGUAGCGGUGAAAUGCGUAGAGAUCGGGAGGAAUACCAGUGGCGAAGGCGGCCUUCUGGACUGACACUGACGCUGAGGUGCGAAAGCGUGGGUAGCAAACAGGAUUAAUACCCUAGUAGUC
rnacentral:rRNA from 1 species